AGUGCUCCUGCUGACCUUCCCUGUCUGCAGCCCGGCUUUGGACUGUGGAGAUGCCCUCAGCCUCUACUCAGUGGCUCCAGCCUCAUAUUUGCGUGCUAUACCUUUAACCUCAAGCCCUCUUGCUGCUAACUUAAACUGCGACUGUCCAGGACCUGCACACACACAUACAUGCACACAUGCACACACACACACACACAGAAGGUGAACACACAGGAUGAGGCCCUGAAAACUCGUUUCACCCGUGUACCUCGCCCAAAAAUUCCCCUUUGUACUUCUAUCUUUAUCUCUAACUGACAGCAUGAAGGUAGCCCGAAGUCCCCUCACCCUGUCUGUCCUCCUGAUUCUCUAGCCCAGUUCCCUCUAGCUCCAGCACAGACUCUAAUCUCCAGCCCUGACUGCCGAAACCCUCCAGCCCCAGCUCCAGCCCCUCAGGAGGGGACUCCGUGGGAGGAACGACUCCAGCAAGCCGGCAGCUGACCCGUCUCCUGCCUGCACACCUCCCCCUGUGGUCCACUGCCGGUGGUCUUCAGCUGUCUCCUCGUCCCACCCCCAUGGUCUGCUGACAGCCCAGCUCAGCGCAUCCCUGCCAUCUCUGCUCUACCGCUGGUCCUCCCAACAACCAACUUACAGUGUUUCACUCCCAUCACCCAGACUGGAGUACAAUGGUGCGAUCUCAGCUUACUGCAACCUCUGCCUCCUGGGCUCAAGCGAUUCUCCUGCCUUGGCCUCCCAAGUAGCUGGGAUUACAGGUGCCUGCCACCACUCCUGGCUAAUUUUCGUAUUUUUUGUAAAGGCGGAGUUUCUCCAUGUUGCCCAGGCUAGUCUCAAACUCCUGAGCUCAAGCAAUCCACCCGCCUCGGCCUCCCAAAUAAGUGGAAUUACAGGUGUGAGCCACCAUGCCGGCCCUGAUGUAUCAAUAUUAAAACAUUUUCUUCAGCCUACAA